GAUGAACGCUGGCGGCGUGCCUAAUACAUGCAAGUCGAGCGAACAGAUGAGGAGCUUGCUCCUCUGACGUUAGCGGCGGACGGGUGAGUAACACGUGGAUAACCUACCUAUAAGACUGGGAUAACUUCGGGAAACCGGAGCUAAUACCGGAUAAUAUAUUGAACCGCAUGGUUCAAUAGUGAAAGACGGUUUUGCUGUCACUUAUAGAUGGAUCCGCGCCGCAUUAGCUAGUUGGUAAGGUAACGGCUUACCAAGGCAACGAUGCGUAGCCGACCUGAGAGGGUGAGCGGCAACACGGGAGGUAAGACACGGUAAUGACGCCUAGGGGAAGAGGGAGUAGGGAAUCGUGGGCAAUGGGCGGAAGCCUGAAGGAGCAACGCGGCGUGAGUGAAGAAGGUCUUCGGAUCGUAAAGCUCUGUUAUUAGGGAAGAACAAAUGUGUAAGUAACUAUGCACGUCUGGACGGUACCUAAUCAGAAAGCCACGGCUAACUACGUG
rnacentral:rRNA from 1 species